rnacentral:rRNA from 1 species
GGCGGACGGGUGAGUAACGCGUAUAGAACUUGCCUCACAGUUAGGGACAACAUUUGGAANCGAAUGCUAAUACCUGAUAUUAUGAUUAUACGGCAUCGUAUAAUUAUGAAAGUUAUAUGCGCUGUGAGAGAGCUUUGCGUCUCAUUAGCUAGUUGGAGAGGUAACGGCUCACCAAGGCGAUGAUGGGUAGCCGGCCUGAUAGGGUGAACGGCCACUAGGGGACUGAGACACGGCCCUUACUCCUACGGGAGGCAGCAGUGGGGAAUAUUGGACAAUGGACCAAAAGUCUGAUCCAGCAAUUCUGUGUGCACGAUGACGUUUUUCGGAAUGUAAAGUGCUUUCAGUUGGGAAGAAAAAAAUGACGGUACCGACAGAAGAAGUGACGGCUAAAUACGUGCCAUCAGCCGCGGUAAUACGUAUGUCACAAGCGUUAUCCGGAUUUAUUGGGCGU